UACGUAGGUGACCAGCGUUGUCCGGAUUUACUGGGCGUAAAGAGCGCGCAGGCGGUCGUUCAAGUCGAGUGUGAAAGCCCCCGGCUCAACUGGGGAGGGUCAUUCGAUACUGAUCGACUUGAAGGCAGGAGAGGGAAGUGGAAUUCCCGGUGUAGUGGUGAAAUGCGUAGAUAUCGGGAGGAACACCAGUGGCGAAGGCGACUUCCCGGCCUGUUCUUGACGCUGAGGCGCGAAAGCUAGGGGAGCAAACGGG
rnacentral:rRNA from 1 species